AUUGAACGCUGGCGGAAUGCUUUACACAUGCAAGUCGAACGGCAGCACGGGAGCUUGCUCCUGGUGGCGAGUGGCGAACGGGUGAGUAAUACCUAGGAACAUGUCCAGUAGUGGGGGAUAACGCAGCGAAAGCUGUGCUAAUACCGCAUACGCCCUACGGGGGAAAGCGGGGGAUCGUAAGACCUCGCGUUAUUGGAGUGGCCUAGGCCUGAUUAGCUAGUUGGUGAGGUAAAGGCUCACCAAGGCGACGAUCAGUAGCUGGUCUGAGAGGAUGAUCAGCCACACUGGAACUGAGACACGGUCCAGACUCCUACGGGAGGCAG
rnacentral:rRNA from 1 species